rnacentral:rRNA from 1 species
CAGUCGCCGCGGGAAUACGGAGGGGGCUAGCGUUGUUCGGAAUUACUGGGCGUAAAGCGCACGUAGGCGGAUUGAAAAGUUGGGGGUGAAAUCCCGGGGCUCAACCUCGGAACUGCCUCCAAAACUAUCAGUCUUGAGUUCGAGAGAGGUGAGUGGAAUUCCGAGUGUAGAGGUGAAAUUCGUAGAUAUUCGGAGGAACACCAGUGGCGAAGGCGACUUUCUGGUCUGUAACUGACGCUGAUGUGCGAAAGCGUGGGGAUCAAACAGGAUUAGAUACCCCGGUAGUCCCUGUCUCUUAUAC